UUGAAGUCUUUUCCAACCUUAGCAAUUCUGUGAUUCUGUAAUAUUUCUUCUAAUUACUAUCUGAGUCAAUCUAAACACAGCUAUGAACGUCCACACACCUGAAUGUCCAUAUCAAGUGUAAGCAAAUGCAUCUGACCAGCCUCAGGUUAGGGUGCUUUUGAACGUUUUUUAAACUAAAUUAGUUUCUGUGUUGUUACAUUCAGGAGCUAAGUUUGGUGCCUACAGAAUGCUAUGUUCACAAAAACAGGCUGCAGGGUUUGUGUAAAUACAGACUCCUGGAGCUCCUGACACAAAAUACAAACCCUCUCCUGUCGAGCUGCUCAUACUGGGCAAUGUAAGACUGGCUGAAGAAGUGUGAAGAAAAUCCAUCCACACGGGCUUCAAGAGACAGGAGUGCCCACCAAAUCUGUGAAUGUCUUACAUUACUGGCUGUGGUUUUUAUACUUAGUGCCCAAGCAAAUCAAGACAUGAAUUUUGGAGAGACGAGUUAAAAUCUGUCCUAGCAGAUUAGUUUAUGAAGCAUGGCUGGAGAAUCUGACCAGCAUGGAGGUGUCUAUUGAUCCUAUUCUUUACAAGUCUGGCCACCACUGAAGGUCAGAACUGCUUUUUGUUCUACACGACACUUGUGCUGAAAGCACCAAAUUUCCAGCUUAAGAUCCCUCGUGCUCUUUAAUUACCCAACUGCUCAGUGUCUGGAGCAGCUCCCUUCGGAAGUCAGCUCUAGGAAAGAAGGAUUGACUGUGGUCUGCGAGAAGGGAGGAGACUCCAUAACGGGGGAUAAAAAACGCUAAGAAACGUAAAAGGGGUGUGGCCGUUCCGCCUGGACACGCGAUGCCAUCGCCUGCAGCUCCGUGUGAUCGGGGAGCAGUUCUGGCAGGCGACACGAGGUGGCAGCGCCAUCCACACAUCCCGCACAUGGGACCCUCGGCUGCUGCGGGGAAAGUGGGAGCUGGGAGUGGAGCAAAGCUGGCCACGCUAAAAGAUUUUGACUUUUGUCUCAAGAAUUCUUCCCUCCCACUCGCUCCUUUUCUCCUCUGUUCAGCUCUGCCGUGGUUCCCCGCGGCUUUGCACAGCUCACCUUGGAUGUAUUUCUUGCUCUUCCAACAAGUUGCUGGCUUGGCAUCUCGUGAAUAUGAAGCUUUAUGAAUGGAAUUUUAUAGGAGCUGUCAUGCUUUGGCUCUCUUUCCUGUCAUUCCCGUCACUCUUUGGGAUCUCACACUGUAUUUGGGAGUCAGAGAACCAGGGAUCUGCUCUUGCUUUGCAACUGAACGGGAUGGGAGAGGUACAUUGGGCUGAGCUGCUUCCCAUUAAGGAGCAAUGGUGAAUUCCUGUGUCUCUGUUCUGCUUCUUGGUCCUUCCUUGCUGUUUCUGUUCUAUCUCGUUUCAACACACAUUUUGGGACAGGUGCACCUGUCAGCUCAGAGCACUGCCGUGCGUGGAACCAUUUGGAGAUAGGAUAGCUUUGCUCAUGGAAUGUUAUGUGCUUUGCUGCCUUGGUUUUGGUUGUGUCCUACUCAUUAUGCCUUCCAUGGCCAUUUUCUUACUCACAAAUCUCUUUUUAACCUCUUUUCAAUGACUGCAGGAAAACCUAGUCUCUGUUCACAACAUGAUCAACCAGUCUUGAAAAGCUCUGAACAAACAUGUGUCUGGCUGGUUGCUCUCUGCUGCACUGGACCUGAGCUCAUGGGGUACCUUUCUGGUUACUUAUCAGUCUUCACAAAAAACAAGUAAUGCCACAGAGGCUUUUACCAUCAGGUGAAAAACCUUCCCCAGAGCCAAACACCCUGGGCUCUGUGAUAGGACUGGAUGAAAACCUAGACUUCAGUGGGGAGCACUGAGGUAUGGAGGCAAGAAAAAGUGGAUGGAACUUUGCUGCUGAGUCCUGGUAAGCUGCAGAUGUGGGUGAAAACUGGCCAUGUUUGAAGGGAAUUCGAGAAGCACACAGAAAGGACUGAUGUGGUUUGCACUACCACUGCCACCUUUUGCUUCUUCAAUGAUUCAGUCUUCACAGAGGUGGAGUCUUCCUCUCCUCUGCAGAAGGGAUUUGCACACAAACGUGUUCUGUUCCUUCCUGGACGCUGCUGGAGAAAAGUCUGAGAUUGGUUGUUCGCUUAUUAUUAAUAAUAAAAAUGGGAAGAAAAACAAAGCUGAACAAAUUAAAUGGACCAAAUUCUACGUACUAAAACGAAAAGCCUGGUUUCAUUAGUUUAGGAAGUUUUGUGGCCUAGUGCUAAUGUAGAAACUACAGUAAUUAAUCCCAGUAAAAUUAAUCCCUGGUAAAACUGGAGUAAUUUCUCCAUAGGAGAUGGACCUGCUACAUUAGACAUAGUAAGUAAUUCUAUUAUUUAAUCAACAAUUAAAGGCUAAUAGUGCUCCAGGAAGGACUUGAUUUCUCUCAGAGAUUUAAAUUCCACCAGAAACUCCACUCUUGGAUCUGCAGUUCAACUGUAUGUUUUUCCUCAUGAGGAAAGUCAUGUGGUAGAACAGUUGCUGUAUUUAAGCCUCACAAAUGGAUUCCUAGUUAAGGCCACACUACUUAAAGGCUGCCUUUGCUCAUUACAGUGACAACUAAGAAAAUACAGGUAUGAAGACAAACAGAUGGUCUAACAACUCCUGUCUGUUAAGUACACCCAAAAUGCCUGCACAAGAGUAAAGCAGUUUUACUAAAUAUUUUGGCUUCAGCUGAUUUGCAGAGUCAUCCCUAAGUCACGGAAUAAUUACAUAACUCAUGGAAUGCAUGUAGAAUAAAAUUAACACAAAAAAAAAUAGAUGAGAACUCCUUUAUCAGAAUUCAAAAUGAGUCAGUGUUUGUUUCUGAACCCAGAUUAACAGUGAUAGGGUGAUAAAAAUCAAGUGCUGUGAUUCCUUCUUGCUAUUUAAAAGCUAUGCCUUAUGUCUGCCAGACCACUGUGGCGUGUCUUAAAAGUGAGCAUUUCUGGAGUACAUUUCUAAUCUAAUGGUGCCCAGAAAAAACAGUAUUUUCUUCUCCUGUUUGACAGAGAUUUGGUUUUAAUACCUCUGUGAUCAAAGCAGCAAUCUGACAGGAUCUCAGUUUGGCUGAUUUCAGGUCACUGCAAACCUUAGGUAAAAUCUACAAUGCCCUUCAGGUUAUUUAAUUUGUGAAAAGACUUAACUCUAAUCCUGCUCAAUGCUAAGGGCACUUUGGUACCUCUGUGCUUUUGCUUUUGAAUAAUGGGGUUUAUGCUCCUGAAAGACAUAGACUGUGAAGCACAUAACCCUGGAUGCAUCUGUGCCAUAUCUGAUGAUCCAAUUCAUAAAGCACAUCUUGUUUUUGAGGGUAGUGUGAAAGUCAGUGUUGCUUGGAAGUGUUUAACUGAAUGGUGACAAGCUACAGCUCCUCAUUUACUGUCUAAAGUGAUACAGAAUAAAUGAGGAACGGGGGAGUUGAAAGGACCUUCUGGGUCACUGAGUUCACCCCCAGUUCUGCAGAUGAAUGUGCACGUCUGACAAGCCUGCAGCUUUCAGUAACCUAAAAAUAUCAAUGCAAAGCCACAGUAAACAGACCCUAAUCUGUGCACAGAGGUUCCUGUAACACCGCUGUGCUCUGUCCUGAGUCCAGUCUGCAGCCAGCACACAGACAGACACUCACUGAGAGGUGAGGACCCUGCUGGCAGCCACACACGUUGGCUGUUAGUGGUCAGCAACACCUCCUCACCCUCAUCAUCCCCUCUGGUGAGUGUGGACAGUCACACAUGAAGUGCAGCUUUUCUGGUCGACAAAUGAGGAAUCCCUGAAUAAUGCAGGGAACCAUCCUCAUUUCACCCCAGAGACAGCAGACAGGGAAUGGAUCCACUGCCCCUGGAGCUUGUUGUUUGUCAGUCGAUGGCAGCAGGAGAACUGUUUGCCCCAGCCCAGCACUGAAAAGAUGAAGAAUGGCUCUGGUGCCCCCCUUGAGGACAUUUUCAGUUGUGAAGAUCAGACUCUGGAAACAGGUGACCCACUCUGAUCACUCACGACCUGUUGUAUGAAUCUAAUUCUGCCUUCAGAGAGGCACAAUAACAAUUCUGAGCUAUAUUACCUUAAUAAGAUCUGCAUCAAUUUAAAUGAAAAGAACCUGUUAAACCAGUAUAUAAAGCAUACCAGUGAAAUUAGAAAGUCCAGGACUGGAAAUGUCUAUUGUUAAAGAGAAUUAACAUGAAUAUUUAAGUUCAACUCCUUUAUGAAGUGGGGCUAAAAUACAGACUAUUCCACUCUGCUAUAAAAAUCACAUGCCAGGGCAUACAAGCUGCCACAGGAUGUGUGUCCCAAAUGGAGAACUGCUUUACUCCUAUCUGCAGUUCCUUAUUUCUAUCUGUCUGUUGUUCUGUGCUUUUUUUUCUGUUGGAUUCCUGGUUGCUCUGGUAACUGGUGUUCGUGAAUAUGCAGUAAAUUUGCUUUUGCCUAAGGUAUAAUUAAAAAAGCCGUCAUACCCUACCCCAGUAGGGUUUUGGCUUAAAAAUAUUUUUUUCUGACCUUUUUUUUUUUCAAAUUUAAAGUGAAAGCAACAGAAUCAGCUUCAGUGCUGCCAUAAAUUUAAUUUUUUUUAUUGCAAUUGCUGGUUUGAUCUCUUUGUAAAUGAGAAAGAAAGCAGUGCUGCUUUCUCUGCAAGUGCAAAAGGCUCAGUUUCAAAUUCAUGGGAACGAUAUUGCAUCAAUACUUAAAAGUCAUGUCACAGUAAUCUUCAAAUCUUCAUCUCCACGUGAAAAGUAGUGCCUUCAGGAAGGGGAAAAAAAAAAGCUCUGAUCAAAAUUCCAAGAGUUAUAAAUAAGGACUCUGUACACAAAGGAACUUUGUGUUUGCAGUGGAGUGUCAUAUGAUGGCAAAAGCACAUGAGGGUCACCCUGAGAAUUACAUCAUCCGGAAGGAAACACAACAUGCAUCUCUCCUACGUGAAAAGCGUGUCAGACAGACCCCAUGGGUUUGCAAAGCCUUGGCUCUUUGGUCUCCAAUGUCUCAUUAAAUCCAGAAGAGGUUAUUUUUACCCUCACUGGAUUUAUCUUUCCUGGACAUGCAAUGGUAAUCCUUAUUGAACUGCAAAGCCUACCACGAAGGAGAAUCACUUUGUGUUGAGACAGCUAUUCUUGUACAAGAAUUUUAAUGUGAUAUGACAGGCAACUUUUUUUCUUUUGGGAGAGAAAGAGUAUUUCUAUGAACUUUGCUAACUGCUCACACUGCAUUUACUGGCCCUUUUCUCCCUUGCACACAUGUGCAUUGCUGGUCAAAAGCAAUGGCAAUUUAAGCACCUUGCUUAAACUGUAAACUGUCUCCUGAAUUACUUAAGCGAUUCUGGUCAGAGAUACAAAUUCAAUACUGCACAUACCCAGACUGUAGAUGUUGAGAGCACCUACAAUGAAAAAUGCUCUAAUUCUCUAGG